GGCGAAGUGUCGUUCCGAGGAGGACCAGAGACGUGUUUUGUGUACCUAAUGUUGUGGCCGCAGAGGUGCUCGAGGACAGACCCCUGGGGGACGCCGCCUCUUCCGCCGCACUGGAUGGAAGAUGUCCGCUCUAAUAGGAGCAGCGAGAGGAGCUAACCCACAGUCGUCAUCAUCACAUGUGAGGCUGCAGUGACAGGAUGCGCCCAGGAGACGGCGGUGGGAGACAAUCCAGUAAUAUUAAGGUCAGAGGUUUGACCCCUGAGACUGAUGACGUUAGCACCUUCUCUCAGUGAAAUGCUACCAUGACAACCCUGCUCAUGUCUUCUCUGCUUUAU